UACAGAGGGUGCAAGCGUUGUUCGGAAUUAUUGGGCGUAAAGAGCUCGUAGGCGGUUCGUCGCGUCGGCUGUGAAAUCCCGAGGCUCAACCUCGGGUCUGCAGUCGAUACGGGCGGACUGGAGUUCGGCAGGGGAGACUGGAAUUCCUGGUGUAGCGGUGAAAUGCGCAGAUAUCAGGAGGAACACCGGUGGCGAAGGCGGGUCACUGGGCCGCAACUGACGCUGAGGCGCGAAAGCGUGGGGAGCGAACAGG
rnacentral:rRNA from 1 species